UACGUAGGGGGCAAGCGUUGUCCGGAAUUAUUGGGCGUAAAGCGCACGCAGGCGGUCUAUCAAGUCUGACGUGAAAUCUCCCGGCUUAACCGGGAGCGGUCGUUGGAAACUGAUGGACUUGAGGCGAUGAGAGGGGUGUGGAAUUCCCGGUGUAGUGGUGGAAUGCGUAGAUAUCGGGGAGGAACAUCAGUGGCGAAAGCGGCACCCUGGCAUUAGCCUGACGCUCAUGUGCGAAAGCGUGGGGAGCGAACGGG
rnacentral:rRNA from 1 species